rnacentral:rRNA from 1 species
UACGUAGGGGGGCUAGCGUUGUCCGGAAUCAUUGGGCGUAAAGAGCGCGUAGGCGGCUGGAAUAGUCCGGUGUGAAAUCCACAGGCUUAACCUGUGAAUGCCGCUGGAAACUGUCUGGCUAGAGUCCGGAAGGGGCGAGUGGAAUUCCUGGUGUAGCGGUGAAAUGCGCAGAUAUCAGGAGGAACACCGGUGGCGAAGGCGGAUCUCUGGGACGGUACUGACGCUGAGACGCGAAAGCGUGGGGAGCGAACAGG